rnacentral:rRNA from 1 species
UGUAAACGUUGAGUGCUAGGUGUUAGGGGGUUUCCGCCCCUUUGUGCUGAAGUUAACGCAUUAAGCACUCCGCCUGGGGAGUACGGCCGCAAGGCUGAAACUCAAAAGAAUUGACGGGGGCCCGCACAAGCGGUGGAGCAUGUGGUUUAAUUCGAAGCAACGCGAAGAACCUUACCAGGUCUUGACAUCCUUUGACAGCGGCAGAGAUGCCGUGUUCCCUUCGGGGACAGAGUGACAGGUGGUGCAUGGUUGUCGUCAGCUCGUGUCGUGAGAUGUUGGGUUAAGUCCCGUAACGAGCGCAACCCUUAAUUUUAGUUGCCAGCAUUAAGUUGGGCACUCUAAGGUGACUGCCGGUGACAAACCGGAGGAAGGCGGGGAUGACGUCAAAUCAUCAUGCCCCUUAUGACCUGGGCUACACACGUGCUUCAAUGGAUGGAACAAAGGGACGCGAAGCGGCGACGUGAUAGCCAAUCCCACAAAACCAUUCCCAGUUCGGAUUGCAGGCUGCAACUCGCCUGUAUGAAGCCGGAAUCGCUAGUAAUCGCGGAUCAGAAUGCCGCGGUGAAUACGUUCCCGGGCCUUGUACACACCGCCUGUCACACCACGAGAGUUGGCAACACCCGAAGUC